rnacentral:rRNA from 1 species
UACGUAGGGUGCAAGCGUUGUCCGGAAUUAUUGGGCGUAAAGAGCUCGUAGGCGGUCAGUCGCGUCUGCUGUGAAAACCCGGGGCUUAACUCCGGGCCUGCAGUGGGUACGGGCUGACUAGAGUGCGGUAGGGGAGACUGGAAUUCCUGGUGUAGCGGUGAAAUGCGCAGAUAUCAGGAGGAACACCAGUGGCGAAGGCAGCUCGCUGGGACGGUACUGACGCUGAGGCGCGAAAGCGUGGGGAGCAAACAGG